CAUAUGGGGAAGACCAAGAUACAUGGAAUACGGAAUGAGUGUUGUUUUGAUCUUUGUGAUUAGUUUAAAUGCCAUCCUCAUACUAACAAUAACGGAUACAAGUCCAUUAGUCUACUGGUGCAAAAAUCUUUUCGCCAUCUGGUUGCUUGCAGUUGGGGCUCUCUUAGCUUAUAUGGUUCAUCAGUAGAUGGAAGAAAACUUCAAAAGGACGCUUGACAUUUUGUAGUUGGCUUUAAAAUUUCGCGACUCUCGGUCACUAACUUACUCACACGUAACGUGGGACUGCAUAAAUUUCAACUUUUUUAAUUCACAAUAUAUUUCUUUCAUAAUACGAAUAAACACUUUAAUUGUAAAUAACAACUUGUAUUGUUGUCAAUUUUUAUUGUAAUGAACUUGUAUUGAAGUAAUUUUGAUUGUUGUCAACAUGUCUUGUUGCCAACUUA